ACACAUCAGGGGCUUGCUCUUGCAAAACCAAACCACAAGACAGACUUGCAAAAGAAGGCAUGCACAGCUCAGCACUGCUCUGUUGCCUGGUCCUCCUGACUGGGGUGAGGGCCAGCCCAGGCCAGGGCACCCAGUCUGAGAACAGCUGCACCCACUUCCCAGGCAACCUGCCUAACAUGCUUCGAGAUCUCCGAGAUGCCUUCAGCAGAGUGAAGACUUUCUUUCAAAUGAAGGAUCAGCUGGACAACUUGUUGUUAAAGGAGUCCUUGCUGGAGGACUUUAAGGGUUACCUGGGUUGCCAAGCCUUGUCUGAGAUGAUCCAGUUUUACCUGGAGGAGGUGAUGCCCCAAGCUGAGAACCAAGACCCAGACAUCAAGGCGCAUGUGAACUCCCUGGGGGAGAACCUGAAGACCCUCAGGCUGAGGCUACGGCGCUGUUUGGUGUCUAUUUGUAGGACAAGGCUAUGUGAAGGGUUUGGUCCCAGUAGCUUCCCUCCUCAGAUGCUUAGAAGUGUUCCUCGGUGGCUGUGACUGACGGGGAGGAACAGGAGAGAGAGGCAGAAAAGGACAGGCUGAAGAAUGCCUCGCUCAGCACUGCAGGAGAUACUGUAGAGUUCUGGGGGAGGAAGGAAUCCCAAGACCUGGGUUGUCAUCCAAGCCUUGCAAACAUCUUGGACAUCGAUUUCUUCCCUGUGAAAACAAGAGCAAGGCCGUGGAGCAGGUGAAGAAUGCCUUUAAUAAGCUCCAAGAGAAAGGCAUCUACAAAGCCAUGAGUGAGUUUGACAUCUUCAUCAACUACAUAGAAGCCUACAUGACAAUGAAGAUACGAAACUGAGACAUCAGGGUGGCGACUCUAUAGACUCUAGGACAUAAAUUAGAGGUCUCCAAAAUCGGAUCUGGGGCUCUGGGAUAGCUGACCCAGCCCCUUGAGAAACCUUAUUGUACCUCUCUUAUAGAAUAUUUAUUACCUCUGAUACCUCAACCCCCAUUUCUAUUUAUUUACUGAGCUUCUCUGUGAACGAUUUAGAAAGAAGCCCAAUAUUAUAAUUUUUUUCAAUAUUUAUUAUUUUCACCUGUUUUUAAGCUGUUUCCAUAGGGUGACACACUAUGGUAUUUGAGUGUUUUAAGAUAAAUUAUAAGUUACAUAAGGGAGGAAAAAAAAUGUUCUUUGGGGAGCCAACAGAAGCUUCCAUUCCAAGCCUGACCACGCUUUCUAGCUGUUGAGCUGUUUUCCCUGACCUCCCUCUAAUUUAUCUUGUCUCUGGGCUUGGGGCUUCCUAACUGCUACAAAUACUCUUAGGAAGAGAAACCAGGGAGCCCCUUUGAUGAUUAAUUCACCUUCCAGUGUCUCGGAGGGAUUCCCCUAACCUCAUUCCCCAACCACUUCAUUCUUGAAAGCUGUGGCCAGCUUGUUAUUUAUAACAACCUAAAUUUGGUUCUAGGCCGGGCGCGGUGGCUCACGCCUGUAAUCCCAGCACUUUGGGAGGCUGAGGCGGGUGGAUCACUUGAGGUCAGGAGUUCCUAACCAGCCUGGUCAACAUGGUGAAACCCCGUCUCUACUAAAAAUACAAAAAUUAGCCGGGCAUGGUGGCGCGCACCUGUAAUCCCAGCUACUUGGGAGGCUGAGGCAAGAGAAUUGCUUGAACCCAGGAGAUGGAAGUUGCAGUGAGCUGAUAUCAUGCCCCUGUACUCCAGCCUGGGUGACAGAGCAAGACUCUGUCUCAAAAAAUAAAAAUAAAAAUAAAUUUGGUUCUAAUAGAACUCAGUUUUAACUAGAAUUUAUUCAAUUCCUCUGGGAAUGUUACAUUGUUUGUCUGUCUUCAUAGCAGAUUUUAAUUUUGAAUAAAUAAAUGUAUCUUAUUCACAUCA